AGUGGCGGACGGGUGAGUAACGCGUGAGAAUCUGCCUCUAGGUUGGGGACAACAGUUGGAAACGACUGCUAAUACCCAAUGUGCCGUAAGGUGAAAGAUUUAUUGCCUGGAGAGGAGCUCGCGUCUGAUUAGCUAGUUGGUGAGGUAAAGGCUUACCAAGGCAUCGAUCAGUAGCUGGUCUGAGAGGAUGAGCAGCCACACUGGGACUGAGACACGGCCCAGACUCCUACGGGAGGCAGCAGUGGGGAAUUUUCCGCAAUGGGCGAAAGCCUGACGGAGCAAUACCGCGUGAGGGAGGAAGGCCUUUGGGUUGUAAACCUCUUUUCUCAGGGAAGAAGAUCUGACGGUACCUGAGGAAUAAGCAUCGGCUAACUCCGUGCCAGCAGCCGCGGUAAUACGGAGGAUGCAAGCGUUAUCCGGAAUCAUUGGGCGUAAAGCGUCCGCAGGUGGUUUUUCAAGUCUGCUGUUAAAGACUGGAGCUCAACUCCGGAAAGGCAGUGGAAACUGAGAAACUAGAGUUCGGUAGGGGUAGCGGGAAUUCCCAGUGUAGCGGUGAAAUGCGUAGAUAUUGGGAAGAACAUCGGUGGCGAAGGCGCGCUACUGGACCGAAACUGACACUCAGGGACGAAAGCUAGGGUAGCGAAAGGGAUUAGAUACCCC
rnacentral:rRNA from 1 species